ACGCGAGCCCGAUGGGGUUCCUGCGCGCCGCGCGCACCCGCCUGACAGCCGCUCGCUACGUUUUGUUAGCC
rnacentral:sRNA from 1 species